rnacentral:rRNA from 1 species
GAUGGCGGCCAUAGGCGCCAGGGUCCACCGGAACCCGUUCCGAUCUCCGAAGUUAAGGCUGGCGCCGUUGCCGGAGAUGUGCGCUGCGCGAGCGCGUGACAGGCCGGCAAGCUGCCACAU